UUAAGGUCACUGGGAAGAGCUCUCAGAUGAUGCAAUUGUAGACCAGACCAUGCAUAUAUUAAAAUAGUGAGGUCUGAGGAAUAGGGGCAAAAUGGAGUUAGCAUCCUCUGCCUCCAUGGACUGGUCAGCUUAAACUGUCAGGCACAGGAAUAACUGGAUUGAAUGAGUAUUUAAACAUGCCAUAAUGACAACCUUAUCUCAACGGAAGAAGAACGCCUCCUGGGGAACAGGGGUGGCUCUUUAAGACUGGCAGACAGUGGUUAAUCCACAGGCAGAAUCAAGAUAAGUAGGAUCUGGUCUCCGCUUGGCUUCAACUAUCCCCUUAGCAUGUGAUCACUGCAUCCUCCAUGUGCAGUGCAUUGUGGGAGAGAGAGAAGCAAGCAUGCAUCCAUGAAGGAGUGUGGCAUGUGCUCAACAAGAGAAGGAACCCAUGAAGACCCCUGAUGUGCUCAGGGUCUAGUUGGGGAGAGCAAGGUCCACAGAACAAGGUGGAAGAUGAAGGCAGAAGCUGAUGUACCAGGAGACUCAUGGGUGUGGCAGCUCAGGUCUGUGAUCCCAGCACUUGGGUGGCAGAAACAGAACUUCUGAGUUUGAGACUACGAUGGGCUAGGCUACAGAGUGAGAUCAUGCCUCAACCAACCAACCGGAAGGAAGGAGGGGCAAGCAUUAAAGGAAAAACCAGAACGUGUCAGCAUCCAUCCCAAGAUGUUCUCAGAAUCCCAACGAAACAGGGGUAAAUGCUGUCAUUUUAUCGUACUGCGAUUCUGCAGAAAUAACUCAAGAUCUCACUGCAUAGAAGCUCCCGGUGUCCUUACCCUAACCUUGAUUCGGCAUGCUCUCCUUUUAUUA
rnacentral:lncRNA from 1 species